UUUCGGUGGAGCAUAACCCAAACUCAAAAAAAAAAAAAAAAAGACACUUGCCAUAGCCUAGAUCCUCAUCCUUGUACAGUUUCCAGCACAAUACGCUUCAACGGUCAGUAGUACGUUUAGGCCUACUGUAACGAAACCAACUUAUUUAAAGCUAGUUUCUCAAAAACAUAAAUGAUAAACAAAUAGAAACUAUUCUUUACAGUUCCUCUGAGAAGCCUCCUUCAACCCAGAAAUGCGAAACUGAUAAGCCAGUACACCAGGACCAGCCAGCCAAAGAUUUUUUUCCACAAGAGUCUUAACAAUGGAACUGUUGAUACAUUGCUUGGUUUCAUGAAAAGUUUUAACAUCCAGUUUCCCAAGAACAUCGGUGAAGUGGCAUCAAUUGGGCACUGUAUUGUGAACCAUUUUAUGUUACAAUAUGGAAGUGCCCUCUCUUGGACACUUUCGCAAACUUCGCUGCUGCCAAUGCAAGUAUCGUCACACAGGGCAUAGAUGUUGUAGGGUGGUUGAGCUGCUGCUAAAUGCCCUAAUGCGAACAAACCAGCAUGUGGACAGCCUCUUGCAGAGUUUUUAACCUGUCCCAAGUCACCUGGAAGAGCCGGUUACUGUAACUACACCCAAAGAAUCACAUAUGUUCAUUGGGAAACAACUUUACAUCAGCAGAUCUCGAGUGUCUAGAGGGUGAUGCCUGGCUACAAGAUAAGAUCGUCAACAGUUUCCUGGCUAAGCUCCAGAGAUCGGCCAACUGGGACAGGAAAAAGAGGGUUCUAGUUUUGUCAUCCUUCUUGGCAGACAAAUGGGAGAAGGGGAGUAAAGGCAUACGUCAAUGGAUCUAUAAAUUGGUGAGGUUCGCAACAUACGAUCUAAUUUUGCUGCCAGUAUGUACUGCUGCACACUGGUUCCUGAUGGCAGUGGAGCCAAAACAAUGUACAGUCACUUGUCUCGACUCGUUAAAAUCACCAGAACGAGCCUUGCGAUUUUACAACUACUGGAUAAUGCUGAAUGCCUUGUGAAAGAUGUUUUCCCGACAGUCAUGCGCAAGCACCACGUUCCAUAUCGGGAGUGAUGAAGACACUGCUAGCUGCCAGGAACACAGACAACUGCGACUCCAAACUGUGUUUGCAUCCACAACUAAAAUGCUUGGAAUGGAAGGGUUGUGAUGGAUGUUUGAUGUGUGAGCAUUCUGUUUGCACAAUAAUAACAGACAAGCACCCGUAUUGUCGACUUUGUUCGCCAUUGCACUACAAAAACUAAAUAUUUCCAUUUCUUGAAUUUGCACUUUGAAUUCUUAUUGCUAUUUUCCUAUAGUCAUUUUAAGUUUUAAUUUGAAUGUAUUCACAAUUACUAGAAGAUUUAUGUAAGAAAUGUACAAAAUUAUUUAUUUGAUACAUAUAUUUAUCAUAUAAUAGCUAGCAUAUCUAGUUUAAUUAAAAUAUAUGAUAUUUUUCAGAUCACAUACUUUCAGAAUUUGAUAACUUUACAAACUAGAUGUAAAUUAAUUGAGGUCAUGGCAAACGUUCUACGGUGACACUACAUGCAUAAUUGUAACACUCCAUAAUUGAUGUGUUCCUUCAUAGUCGUCAAACAAAAAUAUUUCAAUAGCAACUUUACACUGAAAGCUGUCCAGUAUUCAGAAAACAAAAAAUGUUAAGCACUACUAGUGCUACUAGUUUAUUUUUAUGUAAGGACAUCCAAAAUGACAUCAUUUGAAUAUCGAGUAAUGGCUAACUGGUUUACAAACAUAUGUUGCAUUAUAUGAUAAAGAGAUUAUGACCCUCGUGUUUCAAUAUCUUCAGUAUCAUAUAUUAGGGAUAAAAAUGUAUUAUACUCGCAUAAUACAAAUUAUAUUCCUAAUAUAUGAUAUUGACAAAUCCGAAAUUCAGUCUAGUAAUAGGUAUGCCAAGUGAUACCAGCACUCCGCUGGGAAAGUACUAGAGUGGGUCAAUAUUGGCGAUGUUUACAGCCCCCAAAGUAAUACUUGUUCUUGAUCAAUUUUUGUCAAAUAAACUUUGAAAUAAAGAGAA